UGAGUUUGCUGGAUAUGGUCC
rnacentral:piRNA from 1 species